rnacentral:lncRNA from 1 species
CGCGUUGUUGUGCCGUCAACAGACGCUUCGCAGUUGGUGUACCGAGGACGCGAGCGCGUUAACAACGAAGCUGUGUGUGCGUGUGUGCGUGCGUGUGUGUGUUGGGCGUAAGCUCGCUGCUAGCUCGUACACUGCAGUUUCACGGAAACAAACAACCGGGUAAAGGACGCUUGGCACUUCCGUUAUUGGAUUCAAUUAGCCCUCUGUGAGGUAGACACAACGGACGCAGACUUGCCUGGUGGCAUUGUUCGCAUCGCGCGACUGUGAAAUGUUCUUCCAAGUUUCGACCGUGUCAUCGCUGCGUCAAAGCAAUAUGGACACACCGCGUACGUGCAAAUUGCGGCGUCAUGCAGCUGAAUAAUGUUAUUCAGAGCUUUUCAACUUGUGCGAGAGGUAAUUAUUGUGGUGAAAAGUUUUGUGCACGCUGUGUUUCGUGACGAGUUUCUCUCUCGUUUGAGGCGUCGCGUCGUGGCAGCGAUCAGUGUCGUCCAGAAGCGGUAGGUGAUAUCUCGUCACUUACGGGGGUCAAGAGGAGGUGCGGGCGGAUGCUGUAAGGUGUUUUCCGUGCCCCAGGGUGGCGGGAGGUGACUGCCGGACAAGUAAGGUAGUUCGGUGCAGGAACUUCGAAGUCCCUAAGUAACCGCAUUUGCAAAGCUGAAUAACGUGCGGUUUAAAUUCAAUGAAGCGAAGAUAUAAUACCUAACGGAUAACUCUUCUGACAACAAGUAACCGCUCUUCCGGUCGGGUGAUGUGACACGAAAUACUUUCAUAAACACUUGUCGCGAGGGUUCCGGCGUUGGCGGUCACGUAAAUAAACAUGGCUGCCGGCCGAUGCUAGAUUCUGGCAGAGCGUCGAGUUAGUUCGCGCGAAUCGGUGCCUCGUGUUCUUCGAUUAUUAAGGAGAAACGACGUCGACUGCAACGUGAUAAGUUCCGAAAAUGAAGUUGAAGUCGAAGUUGUUGUGUCAGUGCAGUGAAAGGUGAAAGGACAAGUGUGUUACGUGAGAGUUGAGUGAAUUCAAGAAACGUUGUCUCAAAUUGCGUGCCGGGAUGCUGGUGCUGUUCCCUUCCGCUGCAAUUGGAGUCUGUAAGCAUCGAUUGGAUGAAUCGGGCCAUCAACAACGACUGCAGUUCUUCGUCAACUGUAUCUGCUCACCCGGUAUGAGGAAUCUAGGCUGUUGGGAUGAGCGGAUAUUCAAUUAGCCAGCACUCCGUUUGAAGAAGACUACAACGGAAAAGCCCCGAUGAUUCAAACCCGCAUCCUCAAUGUCCCGGAGCAGCUUGAAGCAUGGUAAAGGAAUCCCCGCCAGCGGGGUUAAAGAAUCGAAUAUCCACUUCAUCCCUUGAUUCAUCUGGUGCAAAGCGGAAAGUCGAAUGAUUCGAUUCCCAUUUGAAACACGAUUCGGCCCGAUUUCCGGCCAUGGAACCGGCGUAAUUAAAUUUGUAUUACAGAGACAAAAAUGAAUGCUACAUUAAUGCGUCUACUCUUGCUAUUCUACUUACGCUGAUUUUCACCCGCAUGUUUAUAAUCUAAAAGCCACCAAAAGCAAUAUCAUUUGCUUACGGUUUUUAGACGUGCAAUAAUUCUGCAGUUCCGACAAUUAAGUCACCGCUGCAAUGCCGGAACGCUUACAAAGAUUGCAGGACGUUCUACGUGAGUGCUUGUAUCAGUUUUACUCGCACACUAAUUCCCUUACCGUUAAAACGGUCUGAAAUCUCAUUGCGUCAAAAGUAAUGACAGCUUGAAUUUAUAUAUCCUAACAGCUGCUGCUCCACUUUGGUAUCAGGGUACCUACGAGACAUAACAGCCACGGCUUUUUACGUAUUCAAGCUGUAAAAGUGUUCCUCGUAUAAUUUUUUGAGAAAAAAUUUAUUUUUUAAAGUGAUUCUUCCUUACGGGUAAAUUCUGCAAAACAUACCAAGGGUUAAAGCUUAUGCGAGUAAACUGAUCCUCAUCACUAAGGAACCCUAAAAAUUACACCUUUUGAACAUUCGAAUUAACGCUUUUCUUGCAACUGCCCAUAAUUUCCAUUCCGAAAACUAUCCCCCAAGUGACGGCAACGGAUGCUUGUUCUUUUUUUGGAAGUAACCCUUGGGUCUAGUUGAUGUCUUGCACGAACAUUUCCAAAAUAGUUAGGGUAACUGUUGUGCCAGCUCUGUAUGCCUGUGAAUUACGGCUUAAGAACUACCGAAUUACGUUCACACGGCAAAAACCUCCUGUCUAGAGAUGGUAUCACGUAACUGUAAACCGGUUUUUAUCUUAACAUACAUUUUAUUGCUCAAAAUUUUUGAUGAGAAUUCAAUAGUAAGACUCUAAAAAAGCUGUACAACCAACGCAUGUAGUCUUCAUGAAAAACUACGAGUGUAUAGGAAAAUCAAAUCUAAACAGGUUCCUUUGUUUAUUCAGCAACGAAACAUCAGAGCCGAACAACCCUCAACCGCUAGUCAAGUAUACAUGAAGCCAGAUAUAUAUUUACCGCUCAAAAAGGUAAACUACUACUUUCAUCUAUCAUCGAAUUAAUAAUCUGCUGCAUGUACAAAUACAACGAGUGAUUCACACGGAAUCGGCUAUAUAUAAGAACAAAAGCUUCUAAUACUAACACCUGCGCAGGUACCACACACGAGAAUAUUAUCAGUACGUUUCGAAUGAAUGUAUGUAGUACAAACAUAGCAGUGAAGAACAUUGAACGAAAUGAGUUACAGAGUCUAGCGCAUGUUUUUUUUUCUAAUUUAAAUGUGGAAUUUCCGUACUAAUAUCUUCUGCUUCUUUGAAUUAAGAUGUGCGAAAAAAUCUUUCGCGGGCCACAGAGCAAUUCUUCGCUAACGCUAAUGCAAUAUAUUGUAGAAUGUAUGUAAAACGAGCAAGGUAGCAAUUGCUGCUUUAGCUGAUAUUUUAAUUUAUGUUCAAGAAUAUUCAUUCGCAAAAAAAUUUCUUAAUAUUGAAGAUGGUGUGUAUUUAAGUUUUUUUAAACCUAAUCUAUGAACAUUUACUUUUGCUUCAGAAGAUACGCGUAUUACGCAUUAAGAAAUAUAUCUGAGCGAAUGUUAUUUCAUCGCAGAAUGAUCAAUGCAAUCAUAUUUCAAAUACCUACAGUGUUUAUUUUUUUCCCCGUAAAACAUCCUAACGAAUUUUUCUCUCAAGUCUAUAAUCCUACUAUAAUCCGUAGUGUUCUGUACCGGAUAUACAAAAAUAAAUAUUCUAUAAAUAAAUAUAAC